AGUCAACCUACCCUAUGGACGGGAAUAAUCUCGGGAAACUGAGGAUAAUUCCAGAUAGAACACUAUGCCUGGAACGGUUUGUGUUCCAAAUGAUUUAUCGCCGUAGGAUGGGACUGCGUCCUAUCAGUUUGUUGGUGAGGUAAUGGCCCACCAAGACUAUUACAGGUACGGGCUCUGAGAGGAGUAGCCCGGAGAUGGGUACUGAGACACGGACCCAGGCCCUAUGGGGCGCAGCAGGCGAGAAAACUUUGCAAUGUGCGAAAGCACGACAAGGUUAAUCCGAGUGGUUCCUGCUAAAGGAACCUUUUGACGGUCCUAAAACACCGUUGAAUAAGGGGUGGGCAAGUUCUGGUGUCAGCCGCCGCGGUAAAACCAGCACCUCAAGUGGUCAGGAUGAUUAUUGGGCCUAAAGCAUCCGUAGCCGGCUCUGUGAGUUUCGGUUAAAUCUGUGCGCUCAACGUACAGGCUGCCGGGAAUACUGCAGAGCUAGGGAGUGGGAGAGGUAGACGGUACUUGGUAGGAAGGGGUAAAAUCCUUUGAUCUAUUGAUGACCACCUGUGGCGAAGGCGGUCUACCAGAACACGUCCGACGGUGAGGGAUGAAAGCUGGGGGAGCAAACCGGAUUAGAUACCCGGGUAGUCCCAGCUGUAAACCAUGCAAACUCAAUGAUGCAUUGGCUUGAAGCCAAUGCAGUGUU
rnacentral:rRNA from 1 species